UGAAAUGCGUAGAGAUCUGGAGGAAUACCGAUGGCGAAGGCAGCUUCCUGGCAUCAUACUGACACUGAGGCUCGAAAGCGUGGGUAGCAAACAGGAUUAGAUACCCUGGUAGUCCACGCCGUAAACGAUGUCUACUAGUCGUUGGGUCCCUUGAGGACUUAGUGACGCAGCUAACGCAAUAAGUAGACCGCCUGGGGAGUACGGCCGCAAGGUUAAAACUCAAAUGAAUUGACGGGGGCCCGCACAAGCGGUGGAGCAUGUGGUUUAAUUCGAUGCAACGCGAAGAACCUUACCUGGUCUUGACAUACACAGAAUCUUGUAGAGAUACGAGAGUGCCUUCGGGAAUUGUGAUACAGGUGCUGCAUGGCUGUCGUCAGCUCGUGUCGUGAGAUGUUGGGUUAAGUCCCGCAACGAGCGCAACCCUUGUCCUUAGUUACCAGCGGGUUAAGCCGGGAACUCUAAGGAUACUGCCAGUGACAAACUGGAGGAAGGCGGGGACGACGUCAAGUCAUCAUGGCCCUUACGACCAGGGCUACACACGUGCUACAAUGGUAGGUACAGAGGGCAGCUACACAGCGAUGUGAUGCGAAUCUCAAAAAGCCUAUCGUAGUCCAGAUUGGAGUCUGCAACUCGACUCCAUGAAGUAGGAAUCGCUAGUAAUCGCGGAUCAGAAUGCCGCGGUGAAUACGUUCCCGGGCCUUGUACACACCGCCCGUCACACCAUGGGAGUUGAUUGCACCAGAAGUGGUUAGCCGAACCUUUUAGGACGGC
rnacentral:rRNA from 1 species